CGGAGCCCCAAGUGGUGACCAUAUUUAUUGGGCCUAAAGCGCCCGUAGCCGGAUUAAUAAGUUCUCGGUGAAAUUGUUAGACUUAAUCUAACGAAUGGCCUUGAAUACUGUUAAUCUAGGGAUCGGGAGAGGUCAAGAGUAUGCCUAGGGGAGGGGUAAAAUCCAUUAAUCCUAGGUAGACUACCAAUGGCAAAGGCACUUGACUAGAACGAGUCCGACGGUGAGGGACGAAAGUUAGGGUAGCAAACGGGAUUAGAUACCCGAGUAGUCC
rnacentral:rRNA from 1 species